AUUGAACGCUGGCGGCAGGCCUAACACAUGCAAGUCGAGCGGAGCGGCGGACGGGUGAGUAAUGCCUAGGAAUCUGCCUGGUAGUGGGGGAUAACGUCCGGGAACGGGCGCUAAUACCGCAUACUAUCAGAUGAGCCUAGGUCUGAGUAGCUAGUUGGUGGGGUAAAGGCCUACCAAGGCGACGACCCGUAACUGGGCUGAGAGGAUGAUCAGUCACACUGGAACUGGGACACGGUCCGGAAUCCUACGGGAGGCGGCAGUGGGGAAUGUUGGACAAUGGGCGAAAGCCUGACGCAGCCAUGCGGCGGAUUGUAAGAAGGUUUUCGGGUUUUAAAGCACUUUGAGUUGGGAGGCGUUACCAACAGAAUAAGCGACGGCUAACUUCGUGCCAGCAGCCGCGGUAAUAC
rnacentral:rRNA from 1 species